GUACUUGUUUUGGCAGCACUUUUACUAAAAUUGGGAAUACACGGAGAAGAUCAGCACAGCCCUGCACAAUGAUGACACGGAACUACUGCACGCAAUCCAUUGCUUC